CCCUUAGAUGUUCUGGGCUGCACGCGUGCUACACUGAUAUUGCCAAUAUGUCAUUCUUAUCCGAAAUGGAUUGGGUAAUCAAGUAAUGAAAUUUCAUGCUUGGAAUCGGUAAUUGCAAUUUUAUCGUGAACGAGGAAUUCCUAGUAAGCACUAGUCAUCAGCUAAUGUUGAUUAUGUCCCUGCCCUUUGUACACACCGCCCGUCGCUACUACUGAUUGGAUGUUUAAGCGAGGUUCUCGAACUGCUAGUGACUGAUCUUCGGUGAGGUCGCAGUGUGGGAAGUGAACCUAGCUUUGGUGUCUAGAGGAAGUAAAAGUCGUAACA
rnacentral:rRNA from 1 species